rnacentral:piRNA from 1 species
AAGAGCGUUUGAAAGCAGGACUU